rnacentral:lncRNA from 1 species
AAGCUUUUGAUUUGUCGCUCAUCUCCGCGUGAUUGUGACGGCAGCUCUCUGACCGGGGGACACGCGUGCGUCACAAUUUGAAGACCAGAUCCGGUUUAGUCAAUUCCUUAUGGAUCCUUCUUAUGAAUCCGUAUUGCAUGAAAUAGGAAUCAUAUAUAUAAAAGUAAGGUUCCACUCUCUCCUUAUUGGUGGAAAAAUAUUUAAGGAUUUAAUUAAAAAAAAAAAAA